UGAUGACACCUCCCAUGUGUUCCGC
rnacentral:piRNA from 1 species